UACGAAGGGGGCUAGCGUUGCUCGGAAUCACUGGGCGUAAAGGGCGCGUAGGCGGCCGAUUAAGUCGGGGGUGAAAGCCUGUGGCUCAACCACAGAAUUGCCUUCGAUACUGGUUGGCUUGAGACCGGAAGAGGACAGCGGAACUGCGAAGUGUAGAGGUGAAAUUCGUAGAUAUUCGCAAGAACACCAGUGGCGAAGGCGGCUGUCUGGUCCGGUUCUGACGCUGAGGCGCGAAAGCGUGGGGAGCAAACAGG
rnacentral:rRNA from 1 species